GUUUCUCUCAAGGAAGAGUGCAGAUGUUCAAAAAUCAAAUCAAUAGUUUUGGUUAAUUUCUAAACCGAUUUUUUUCAAGAAGUCAUUUUCCCUCUACCUGCCUGGUUUUGUCAUUUUUCAUUCCAUGCCGGCAAUGUUUACAAAGAGAAAAAGGGAAGCAAUAUAUCAGCCUCGGCGAUCUCACGUACGUGGAACUUGUUCAUCCCUAAGGAAAUUUCAGAGGUUUGGAGUUAAGAGUUCGCAGCGGUUUCCAUCUAACCCCUGAGCUGCUUCAUCAUUUUACAGCAGGUAAAUUUUCUUCUCAGUGGGCAAACUGUGUGAUAAACCAUAGGCAAACUUUUGAAAAACUGCAAACACUUACACUUUACUGCAUAUGUAACCAUAACAAUUUAAAGUGCUAAUUUUCUACCUCAUAGAAUAUGUGUAAGUAUGCCUUAGCAACACUCCCAGGAAACAUAAUUUAGAAGAGUCUCUAUCUUCCUUACCUCCAGCGGAGAAAUUUCUGUCACAUACUUAACAGAAAGCCUGCUGUCUCAGUUUUCCAGGUGCUUAUCUGCCUGGGUUCUUCCCCCUCCUCCCAAUGAACUUUUCCGGGAAGUGUUUGUUAUGUUCUUUAACCCUUUCAUUGCAGGUUUGCUCAGGAGAAAGGACCAUAGCUUUCCUCUUUCAAAUUCUACUACCACCAGUGUAGUGUAGUGGUUAAGAGCUUCAAAGAUCUCUCUGUGUAGGGCUUUACUGGUGUGCAGGAACAUUUGUGUGCACUGGCUGAAUGUUGCAAAAAGGCAACUUUGGGUGCAAUUGCACACUCUGUUGGGUCAAGAUUUGCAGGAGUGGAUGUGCAGGAAAACUAACAGAUGAAUAGCAAAGAAUUCUGAAGAAGAAGAAGAAGAAGAAGAAGAAGAAGAAGAAGAAGAAGAAGAAGAAGAGGCGGAGGAGGAGGAGGAGGAGGAGGAGGAGGAGGAGGAGGAGGAGGCGUUUGGAAUUGAUAUCCUGCUUUAUCACUACCCUGGGAGUCUCAAAGCGGCUUACAAUCUCCUUUCCCUUCCUCCCCCACAACAAACACUCUGUGAGGUGAGUGAGGCUGAGAGACUUCAGAGAAGUGUGACUAGCCCAAGGUCACCCAGCAGCUGCAUGUGAAGGAGUGGGGAACCGAACCCGGUUCACCAGAUUACGAGUCCACCGCUUUUAACCACUACACCACACUUGCUCUCACACCACACUGGCUCUCUGAAGCAAAUCAACUUGGGUUUUUUUCAUAUAUAUUGUGCAUGUGGUAUACUUGUGUGUUUGCACAUUAGCACCAUUGGGGUGGGGAGAAAAGAGAUUGACUAUCCAUGUGGUAGAUGGGAGUCUGCUCCGCUAGAGUUCAGGUGUAAUUGGCUGGAAAAAAAAUCCCAUACAAUUUCCUCAGUGAAGUCAGAUGAACACGAUUCCCUAUGUUGCAAUUAUAUUCUGUAAAUCUUCACAGCCCAAAGAAAAUCCACCCCUUUUGAACUGCUGCCUCUGAUGAUGUUCGUAGAACCCAGCCAAGUUUAUUUAGCAGAUGACUUCAAAAAAUGAAGCUAACUAAUGAGUUUCAAAGAACUGCAACUGUGUAAUAAACAGCUCCAGACAAGCCAUAAUAAGGCAGUUUUUACCACAGAUGUUCAUUAUGCAUCUGGGGAUAUUUAGCAUUUCAUGAAUUUGGAAAGGUUGUUGGAAAGGGCAGUAAAAGCAUGUUCCAAAUGAAGGUUUUCAAUACCACAACCACAGUUAAGUCAUGCUCUCGAAUUCCUGGGAGGGGAAUUCAGAGAAAACUGUUAUUCUACCAGCUGACCCGGUAUACCACAUGGAGCACUAUUCGUAAUUGUUGGUAAACUAAACAUACAAUUUUCUUAAAUAAUCUGAGGGCAUGCUUGCACUCUCUAUGCUUUUUAAGGCAUAUUUCAUAGGUAGGUUAUUACUCAUAACGUAAUAUCCUCAAGAACUUUUUAAUUUGUGCUCUCGCAGGGAGGCUGUAGCUCUGUGGUAGAGUGCAUCAUUUUCAUAUAGAAAGUCCCAAAUUCAGUGGCACCUCCGAGUAGGGCCAGGAGAGACUCCCUGUUUAAAAACUGGAGAGUUCAGACAGACACUUCUAAACCUACCUGGGCAACAAACAGAGGCCUUUGGGACUUUUCAGAUCAAGAGAUAAAAUUGAAUAAACUAGAAGACGCCAGAAAUCAGGUGACGAAUUGGUUACAAUACCACCAAUUGAACGAAGUGUUUAAGUCAGAUAAGCCCCACGGGAAGGCAGGACAUUCCGGGGUCAAAUCGUUGGAGAAAUGUUGGAGGGUAUGGAGUCAUGCGAGCCUCGAGCCCAAGAGAUAAGUAACUAUACAACCUUCAGAAGACAUCAGAAUGCAAUCCUGUAUAGGGAAGGUUUUUUUAAAAAAAUGUUUAAUGUUUUAUUAUGUUUUUAUAUAAGUUGGAAGUCGCCCAGAGUGUCUGGGGCAACCCAGUCAGAUGGGUGGGGUAUAAAUAAUAAAAUUAUUGUUAUUGUUAUUAUUGAAUAGGACAUCCUUAUAUUCAUUGGAGAAAUGUAGGAGGGUAUGUGACAGGUAGCAAUAAAAGAGAUUAGGCAGCCCUUGAGGUAUCCUGGAUCCAAAUUGCUAAGAGCCUUGCAAAUUAAUACAGGAACCUCGAACCUGGCCUGGUAUCAGCAUCAGCAUCGUCCUCAGGAUUUCUUGCUCAUCCUUCACUAUAAGGUCCCAGGAUGGAUUCCAACAGUAUUAAGACACAGUGGCACCUCUGGUUACGAACUUAAUUCGUUCCGGAGGUCCGUUCUUAACCUGAAACCAAUCUUAACCUGAGGCACCACUUCAGCUAAUGGGGCCUCCCGCUGCUGCCGCGCCACCAGCACAUGAUUUCUGUUCUCAUCCUGAGGUAAAGUUCUUAACCCAAGGUACUACUUCCGGGUUAGCGGAGUCUGUAACCCAAAGUGUUUGUAACCUGAGGAGUUUGUAACUUGAGGUACCACUGUACAGUAUUAAAAAGUGCAAUCAGAAGAAUAGGGCUGGCCCUUAAAUACAUAUUUCUAAGGUGUCAAAGGCCAGGAUAAAGUGGUGCUUCUUCCUCAUAUGACGAAAGUUGUGCAGUGAAGAUGCCAGGUGUCCCUCUCUGUGGAGAAAAGAAACCCACCCCUUAAAUCCCCUUGAAAUUUCACUUCACAUAAAACUGGGGAAUUUAUGCAGUACAUGCCAGAAAAUGACCAGCAAAUGUUUAAAGAACCUUUCCUGAAAUUUCUAGGGAGAUUUAUCUACACAGAUGCGUUCACAUUUGCUUUGAAAUUCUGCUUCAGGUGGAAUAAAAUGGCACUUCCAGUGUUUCCGUAGCCGUGACCAGAAUCAUGCCCAAACCAUGGCAAUGGGUGGCAGAAAGCAAUUGGUUCAAUGCUACAAUCCUUCCAAAAGCUUGGUAUGGAGAGCUGUUCUCUCAUCACGGAGCAAUUUGGCUUCUCAAAUGACCUUGUUUCUCAAACCUGUCUAUGCACCCCUAACUCAUAAAGGCAACUUAAUAAACCUCCAGGACCUGAAAUGAACAUUUUGAUGACACUAUGAAUACAGUAUAUGCUAAAGAUCCUCUAUUCCAUUUUUCUAUAACCAUAAACAGAUACGCUUUAAUGGUUGAAUGCCUUUACCUUAAAAGAUUCCAAUUUAGUUCCCUAGAGCUAUAAUAAUAAAAGCUGCUGACAUUCUGUUUUUAUUUCUCAGAGUAAAAAAAACAACACACACACACACACACAACCUGUCUUAUAAAAGCAGAUUUUCCUCCUCAUAUUGAUGGGAUGGUGAAAUGAAGUUGGGCCUCACCAUUAAGCACCUUUGCUAAUUGUGCUUCGUUUUCUUCUAAGAACACAAGAAGAGCCCAAGUGAAUCAGACCAAAGGCCCAUCUAGUCCAGCAUUCUGUUCUUACAGUGGCCAUCCAGCCCCAAAUGGGAAGCCCACAAGCAUGGCGUGAGCACAACAGAGCUCUACUACGCACGAUGAUCAGCAAAUGGUAUGUAGAUGCAUGCUGCCUGAUACUGUAGGCAAUAGAUCGUCAUCAUGGCUAUUACCUAUUGGUACCCUGAAUUUGUCUAAUCCUCAUUGAAAGCCAUCCAUAUUGGACUUAUUAUAAAUAUAUUCUGAAGUGAGGGACAUGAGGCAGGAGUUGAUAAUGCAGGUGAGCUGCAAGCAAGCUGCCGGCUAGCUCUGUGGAGCCUCCUUUUAUUGACACAAAUACGCAAACCCAGGCAGAUACAUUUUGGGCAGUGACCUUUACACAUCUUCCAGUCCCGAUAUCGUGGGGUGGUACAAGGUUAUUUUGGCACCAGUUUCCACCGCGUCAUUUUCCCCUUGCACAGUGUAUGAUGAAGGAGACAAAAGGUCUCAGAGACAAAGGUUACAGACAGGGCACCGCAGAUUACUGAGACCGCAAAAGGUUAGACAGAGGGCAUGAUGUUCAGACAGCUGUGGCUUUGUCUGUGAGGGGGAGUGUGCCCCACACCACAAGGUCACGUGUGCAGGCAGGCUGAGGCUGCCUGCGGAUGGGGAGUGUGCUCUGGACCCAACGAUCAACCUUAAAAUAUUCUAACUUUAUUUUUCAGUUUCUGAAAAAUACUUCUAACAAAAAAUCUCCACAUACAACCAACCCCCCAAAAGCAUUUCAUGCCUAUACAGUUCAAAUGAUGCAGUCAAACGGGAAGCAGGUUUGCAUAAUGGUUUAGAGCUGAUUAUAUCAGUUAAGCAUCUUCUACUCCAUGUCUUUAAAAAGGUCAAAGGUACAUAGGUAAAGGACCCCUGGAUGGUUAAGUCCAUUCAAAGGCGACUAUGGGGUUGCGGCGCUCAUCUCACUUUCAGACCAAGGGAGCUGGUGUUUGUCUACAGGCAGCUUUCUGGGUCAUGUGGCCAGCAUGACUAAACCGCUUCUGGUGCAAUGGAACACUGAUAGAAACCAGAGCACACGGAAAUGCCAUUUACCUUUCUGCCACAAUGGUACCUAUUUAUCUACUUGCACUGCCAUGCUUUCGAACUGCUAGGUUGGCAGGAGUUGGGACAGAGCAACGGGAGAUCACCCUGUCAAGGGGAUUCGAACCACUGACCUUCUGAUCAGCAAGUCCAAGAGGUUUGAUGGUUUAGACCACAGCGUCUUCUGCAUCUCUACUCUAUGUCUUAACAGCUUGUCCCAGAGAGAGCCAAUGGUAGCUGGUGGUGAGGGAACAACACUGUCCUAUCUAGUGUAUUGAAUAAACAUGUACCAUACAUUUUCAAAAUAAUCUUUGGUCUUUGAGUUCCUUAGUGCUCUAAGAUGCUUUGCUAGUUUCUCUGAAAGGGCUAUGUUCCAUAGUAUAUCCCACCAUGCCUCUAGAGCAGAGCUUUCCAAACUUUUCAUGUUGGUGACACACUUUUAAAGACAUGCAUCAUUUCAUGACACAGUAAUUCAGUUUCACUAGCAAACCAGAGGUUAAACUAUCCCCUUUCCAGCCCCGGAAGGAGCACGGGGAGCAUUCAUGUCACACACUGCAGCGGACUCACGAAUGUGUUGCAACACACUGUUCGGAAAGCUCUGCUCUAGAGUUAAGAAAGUAGCUGCUUUCUAUUAUUGUGUUGAUACAUUUCCAGCUGCAGAAAUAUUUGGCUUCUUGAUCUCUGGGUUGUUAUCUAAGAGCUACAAAUGUGAGUUACUGAAUAAGGUCAGACUAAACUGCCUCAACUGGAAGGUCUACCAGCUGAAGUAUUUUUGAUUGUUUUAUAUCUAUAAUGGGGGAAAUAAUGCAAUAUGUUAAAAUAAGAGAGUCAUCAUUAUUAUUAUUACUACUAGUGAUGUAUGGAAGUGAGAGCUGGACCAUUAUUACUAUUACUACUAGUGAUGUAUAGAAGUGAGAGCUGGACCAUCGAGAAGGCUGAUCGCCGAAGAAUUGAUGCUUUUGAAUUAUGGUGCUGGAGGAGACUCUUGAGAGUCCCAUGGACUGCAAGAAGAUCAAACCUAUCCAUUCUUAAGGAGAUCAGCCCUGAGUGCUCACUGGAAGGACAGAUCGUGAAGCUGAGGCUCCAAUACUUUGGCCACCUCAUGAGAAGAGAAGACUCCCUGGAAAAGACCCUGAUGUUGGGAAAGAUGGAGGGCACAAGGAGAAGAGGACGACAGAGGACGAGAUGGUUGGACGGUGUUCUCGAAGCUACCAGCAUGAGUCUGACCAAACUGUGGGAGGCAGUGGAAGACAGGAGGGCCUGGCAUGCUCUGGUCCAUGGGGUCACGAAGAGUCGGACACGACUAAAUGACUAAACAACUAAACAACAACAAGUAUUAAUAUUAAUAAUAUACAAACUGUACACACAGCUUUUGGAAUGUCUGAAUCUCCAAAUCACUGGGAUUCAUUUUGAUCUUCAGAGAGAUCCCUUCUUAGUUUUGGGAUUCAGGGUUUUCUUCCACUAAGUACAGCCAGCCAAGCAUGGGCAAUGGUUAAGGCAGAUGAAAAUUGCAGUCCAGCAUUAUCUGGAGGACCACAGAUUUUCCAACCCUGGAAUGGAUUGAUAGGUGCAGGGCUUUGUUUCAGCUGGCACUUGCCGCAACUUAGUUCCAGCACUCAAGUGAGCACCAUUAUAAGAGAACAAGGGAAGUGUUCAUGGCGAGUUCCUGCACCUAUUUUUCUAGAAAAAUAGCACUGGAUCGAUGGAUAGAUAUUACUGGAGAAUGAAUUUGUUUGCUUGUUUUAUUUAAAAAAAAGAAUAAUAACAAAAAAUGGCAAAAGGUUAGGCAAGCUCUGGACUGGAUUCGCAGGAUAGAAAAGAGGUAAUAGAAAUCACAUUUCCAUUAUAAUCUAAAAGGGGUGAUACAAAUAUACAAUAUAAUAUUUAGAAUACAUUCCAUAUAAAAGAGGUAAUAGAAACUACAUUGGCACUAGAAUGUUAUUUUCCAGGUUUCACAGCAACAAAUGAUAUAAACGAAAUGAAAUGGGGACCUAUGAUGAAUAUCAUUGAAUGCUGCAAAGAGCAUAUCCUCCUAUUAUGACAUGUCUAAUCAGUAUUAUGUAUUUGGGUCCAAAUCUGAAAAGGCAAUACCAAACAGGACAUCAAUACUGUCUAUUGCUGCCUAUUACAUUAAGUGUUGGCUUUGUAUUCGAAGCACAGCCCCACUGGGGGGGUGGAACUGAUUUCUUACACUGAACUGAUGGAAUUCAGUCACCAAACAUUUCAGAACAACCAGCAUGGGAUUAUUUCAGUGUCUGCAAAAGCCAUCUUUCUAAUAGAUUUCGCCAUGAAUGGUCCCGACAUUCACCGGGCAUGCCUGCUUUCCAUUUUCACUUUGCACAUUCACCCACAUCUUUAUGCUUAAAUAUCCAUCUCUUUAAUGUGCAAGCCUUUGCAAGGAGGGACACAAAUUCUAUGCAUUUCUGGCUCGGCUUCUCCUCUGCUGUUUCAGUCCUGCGUUGACCUCGUUCAAGAGCAUUUCUGCGGGAGAGCUUUCCUGCGCUUUCAGGCCAACGCUUUUGAGCAGAAAAAUGGUCAAAGAUGGCCACAGAUGAAUGGAUAGCUAGAUAGAUCGCUGAGCCAAAAUGUCCUCCCACCACCCUACUGUCAGGUGGCAAAAUGUGUGUGUGUGUGUGUGUGUGUGUGUGUGUGUUGGUGAUUUGGACAGUGUUUGUGUGGAUGUAACAAGAAAAAAUGGGAAGCUCCUGGAGAUAUUAGUUAUUGUUAUUGUUGUUUAGUCGUUUAGUCGUGUCUGACUCUUCGUGACCCCAUGGACCAGAGCACUCCAGGCACUCCUGUCUUCCACUGCCUCCCGCAGUUUGGUCAAACUCAUGCUGGUAGCUUCAAGAACACUAUCCAACCAUCUCGUCCUCUGUCGUCCCCUUCUCCUUGUGCCCUCCAUCUUUCCCAACAUCAGGGUCUUUUCCACGGAGUCUUCUCUUCUCAUGAGGUGGCCAAAAUACUGGAGCCUCAGCUUCAGGAUCUGUCCUUCCAGUGAGCACUCAGGGCUGAUUUCCUUAAGAAUGGAUAGGUUUGAUCUUCUUGCAGUCCAUGGGACUCUCAAGAGUCUCCUCCAGCACCAUAAUUCAAAAGCAUCAAUUCUUCGGCGAUCAGCCUUCUUUAUGGUCCAGCUCUCACUUCCAUACAUCACUCCUGGGAAAACCAUAGCUUGAAUUAUACGGACCUUUGUUGGCAAGGUGAUGUCUCUGCUUUUUAAGAUGCUGUCUAGGUUUGUCAUUGCUUUUCUCCCAAGAAGCAGGAGUCUUUUAAUUUUGUGACUGUUGUCACCAUCUGCAGUGAGAGAUAUUAGUUAGAUAACUGCUAAUAUUUACAUAUUGCUUCACAAAGGUGUAUGCAUUACAGAACAACCCUAUGUGUAUCUACUCAGAUGUAAGUACCGUUGAGCUUGAAUACACCUUAGUGUGUUCGUGUGCAGGCACUUACAUGCAUGUGCAGCAGAGAAUUUGUAUACUUCCCACCUACGUAAGAGAUUUAAUCGUUAGGGGUUGAAACCCCGAAGAGCUGCAAAUCUAGCAACUCACACUAUCAGCAUGUUGAUGAGGUAGACUAGGAACGGAGGGCUGAAUCCACUGUGUCCCCUCUGAAAAUGGAAGGCACCUCCACUGGAGACUCUGAGUGGAGGUAUGGGGAAGAAGCAAGCUUUCAUUGAAUCCCUUCUUCCUGUAACCUCCAGCACAACAUUCCACCCUGUACCAGAACGUCCCUCAACUCUGCAGAGCAUCAUUUAUGGAGGAAUAUGUGGCAGGGAGGGUGAUGGAGGAGAAACCAGUGAAAGUAGCCUCCUCUCUUGCUGAAGCAGCAGCACCCCACCCAUGAGAACUCUUCAUUCACAAACUGUGAUUUGCCAGGGCUAUGGACCAAAAAUGUGGGACAUAGUGGGAAACUGGUAAAUAGGAACGGUUGGAAGUUCUGCUGUUGGCUGCCUUAUCCUGAUGCUGUAAGAUACUUGCCCCCCCACCCCUCCUGUUACCAAUUGCCAUGAGAUCAGCUUUGGCUAGAUGGCCUGGAGGGUCUGGAGAAAGUAGAUGGGUUGGAUAGACAUAAGAAGAGCCUGCUAGAUCAAGCCAAUGGCUCAUCUAACCAUUGAAUCAUAGAACUGUAGAAUUGGAAGCGACCCCCUGCAAUGCAAGGAAGCACAGCUCAUUCAGCAUCCUGUUCUCACAGUGGCCAACCAAAUACCUGAGGAAAAGCAGCAAGCAGGGCGCCAGCACAAGAGCACAAUCCCCUGCUGUGUUUUCCAGCAACUGGUAUUCAGAAACAUUACUGCAUCCGACUGUGGAGGCAGAUCAUGGCCAUUGUGGCUGGUAACCACUCUCACCAUGCUGUGAAGUGAGGGCUUCCAGAUGACAUGUUUUUGCCUGCUUCCUUGUGCAACUCAUGACAGUCUGUCAUUAUAAUAGUGUAAGGAUAAAGUCAUCACAGAACGUUUAGUUGUGAUUCGAGGACCCGAUCCCCGCUUGGGGAAUGAAGACACAUGGACACAGUAUAUUAGGUUAAUGGGCAAGAAAAAGGCCACAACUUUAUUGAUUACAGCAUGUGAGAAGGUAUUGGCUUAGGCAUUGGACCACAGAAAAUUUGACUCCACCCACUCGGAGAGGGGUGAGAAUGAUGAGGGGUUAACCACCAGUAGGGGGAGCCUGUCGAUGCAAAUACAACUAUAAGCUCUCCCCGAUGUCACCGAGGGUUGUGCCAUGGCCCCCCGCCACACAGGGCAUCGGACAGGAUCCACGACCACCGGAUUCCUUUAACAGAAUACCCAAAAGUGAAGGGGUAAGCGAUGGUCACACCUUGCCCUUCCAUACACCAACAACACAUUCCAAUGCCUAACCGCCAAAUACCAAGAAAGUUGUGACGAUUGCUACGAGGUAGGCGAAAAAAACCAAGAGGCCGGUGCCAAUUUGCCAAUUGGAAAAAACUCCUACCAGGCACCCUGGGCAACCAGGGCGACCAACCAUGGGUCUAUAGCAAGGCCAAGCAAGAAGCUACGCCCUACGGGGAGUGGUGGGUAGGUGACUUGUGGAUGAUCAGGAGCGCAAUGGCGGGGAGAGCUGGCGCAGCCAGAUUUGAGCGGCUAAACCACGCCCCCGCAGUGUCACCCGAUUGGGUGCCCAACUGGGAGGCGUGGCGCGCCAGCGGUGACAAGGGGCAGGGGGCAGAAUCAUCUCCCGCUCACAAUCCCUCCCCUCUGGAGGGAGGAGAGGCUUUUCUUAGUUUGGGGUGUGUUCUUUUGGUUCAGAGAGAGAGAGAGAGAGAGAGAAAUUAGCCAACAGGAUGGGGCUAGACUCGAGCACAAUUAUCUCAGGAUAAUGAUAACAAGUUCUCAAAUCCUAUCUUAAAUCUCAUUAGUCAGCUGAGAGUCAUAAGCACGUUAUGUUUUUUGUCUUUCCUGAAACAACAACAACAAAUAAUAAUAUGAGGAUGCCGCUGAAGAGAUGCACCACCAAUACAUGACAGUCACAAUGGAUGAGAGAGGAAUGAUUAAAGCUGCUAUGUGGUUGAUAAGUUGAGAAUAUGUCAAGGUUAAUGAGUUAUUAAGUCUUGGAAGCCCAAGUGAUGCAGAUGGUCAGAUCCAUAAGGAGGUGAAACGAAGAAUGGAGAAGUCAAACAAUGUGUUUUCUUUUUGUUUUGGAACUAGGAAAUGCAAGGCGCU